GUCGGUGGCAUUGGCCCUUACACCGGCGAUGAGGACCUCCGCCGCCAUUUCCAGCAGUUCGGGUACGUGGCCAGCGUCCACAUGCCCAUCGAUCGCCACACCGGCCGGCACCACGGCUUCGCGUUUAUCCAGUUCACUUGCCUCGAACACCUCAUCAAUGCACUCGCCUAUCGCCACACCAUCCACGGCCAUACGUUGGGCACCCGAUUAAUAGAACCAAGGCUCAGUCGCGGCGUAACAAGAUACACCACUGUCUUCGGCAACCACAUUUACCGGAUCGGACACAACUGUACCUUCUGCUAA
rnacentral:lncRNA from 1 species